CGACAACGGGAGCUACUGGACGCUGUUUUCAACCCUCAGCUUCGGUUCCACAGAGCAGCUUUGCUUCCAGACAACAAAAAGCCAGAUUGUUAUUAAAGAGGAGCAGCAGGAGUGUAGCUCCAGUGUGGAUCAGCAGGAGCAGGAGAACAGAUAUCAUGUGAUAUGAAAUAUAAUGAAAGCAAUAAUCAUUGUGUAGUUCUCCUCAUCGACUGUCUUCUAUCCUACAUUCAAGAGUUUAUGGAGAGA